ACGUAGGUGGCAAGCGUUGUCCGGAAUUACUGGGCGUAAAGCGUGCGCAGGCGGUUUGUUAAGUCUGUUGUGAAAUCCCCGAGCUCAACUUGGGAAUUGCAAUGGAUACUGGCAGGCUGGAGUACGGUAGAGGAAGGUGGAAUUCCCGGUGUAGCAGUGAAAUGCGUAGAGAUCGGGAGGAACAUCAGUGGCGAAGGCGGCCAUCUGGGACAACACUGACGCUGAAGCACGAAAGCGUGGGGAGCAAACAGGA
rnacentral:rRNA from 1 species